rnacentral:rRNA from 1 species
GCGUCACAGUAUUAGGGUGAUGCCUGCCCAGUGACACUGUUCAACGGCCGCGGUAUCCUAACCGUGCAAAGGUAGCGUAAUCACUUGUCUUUUAAAUAAAGACCAGUAUGAAAGGCUAAACGAGGCCCCAACUGUCUCUCACAGAUAAUCAGUGAAAUUGAUCUCCUCGUGAAAAAGCGAGAAUACAACUAUAAGACGAGAAGACCCUGUGGAACUUAAAAUAAUGACCAAUCAGCAAAACCACUUACACCUACGGGCAUAAACACAAACUGCGCUUGGUAUACAUUUUCGGUUGGGGCGACCUCGGAGUAAAACAAAACCUCCGAAAAAAGAACAUAACCCUAUAUACCUAGACGAACAACCCAAAGUGCUCACAGCAAAAUGAUCCAAUAUAUUUGAUCAACGAACCAAGCUACCCCAGGGAUAACAGCGCAAUCCCACUAUAGAGUCCUUAUCAACAGUGGAGUUUACGACCUCGAUGUUGGAUCAGGACAUCCUAAUGGUGCAGCAGCUAUUAAGGGUUCGUUUGUUCAACGAUUAACAGUCCUACGUGAUCUGAGUUCAAACCGG